GUCAACGCUCAUACCAUGUUGAAAGCACUGGUUCUCGUCCGAUCACCGAAGUUAAGCAACAUUGGGCGCGGUCAGUACUUGGAUGGGUGACCGCUUGGGAACACCGCGUAGUGUUGACUCUC
rnacentral:rRNA from 1 species